UGGAAGCAAGAAUGAUGAUUCAAUUAGAUGUGUGAAUGGAGAAAUCCUUGCUGAACUCAAUUUUUUUGAGGCAAACCUUCUGACUUGCUAGUU
rnacentral:snoRNA from 1 species